GCACCUCGAUGUCGGCUCGUCGCAUCCUGAGGCUGAAGAAGGUCCCAAGGGUCCGGCUGUUCGCCGGUUAAAGCGGCACGCGAGCUGGGUUCAGACCGUCGUGAGACAGGUCGGUCUCUAUCCGCUGUGGGCGUAGGAAGUUUGAGAGGAGCUUUCCCUAGUACGAGAGGACCGGGAAGGACGUACCUCUGGUGUUCCGGUUGUCCCGCCAGGGGCACCGCCGGGUAGCUAUGUACGGAACGGAUAAGCGCUGAAAGCAUCUAAGUGCGAAGCCGGCCUCAAGAUGAGACUUCCCAUCCGAAAGGAGUAAGGUCGCAGAGAGACUAUCUGCUUGAUAGGCCGCAAGUGUAAGUCCAGCAAUGGAUUCAGCUAAGCGGUACUAAUCGACCGAGGGCUUGACCAUAAAA
rnacentral:rRNA from 1 species